rnacentral:rRNA from 1 species
CCCUUAGAUGUCCGGGGCCGCACGCGCGCUACACUGAAGGAAUCAGCGUGGCUUUCUCCCUGACCCGAAAGGGUUGGGAAACCCGUUGAAUCUCCUUCGUGAUAGGGAUUGGGGCUUGAAAUUGUUCCCCAUGAACGAGGAAUUCCCAGUAAGCGCGAGUCAUAAGCUCGCGUUGAUUACGUCCCUGCCCUUUGUACACACCGCCCGUCGCAACUACCGAUUGAACGGUUUAGUGAGGGCCUCGGAUUGGUCUCGGCCCGCUCUUUACCGGGCGGCGCCGUUGGUCGAGAAGACGCUCGAACUUGAUCGUUUAGAGGAAGUAAAAGUCGUAACA